rnacentral:tRNA from 1 species
GUCCGCGUAGCCUAAUGGAUAAGACGUCCGACUUCGAAUCAGAAGAUUGCAGGUUCGAGUCCUGUCGCGGACG